GCCCAGGUGGUGGAAUUGGUAGACACGCUAUCUUGAGGGGGUAGUGUCCUUAUGGACGUGCGAGUUCAAAUCUCGCUCUGGGCACCA
rnacentral:tRNA from 1 species